rnacentral:rRNA from 1 species
AGUAACCUGCCCAUAAGAGGGGGAUAAUCCAUGGAAACGUGGACUAAUACCGCAUAUUGUAGUUAAGUUGCAUGACUUGAUUAUGAAAGAUUUAUCGCUUAUGGAUGGACUCGCGUCAGAUUAGAUAGUUGGUGAGGUAACGGCUCACCAAGUCAACGAUCUGUAGCCGAACUGAGAGGUUGAUCGGCCGCAUUGGGACUGAGACACGGCCCAG